rnacentral:rRNA from 1 species
GACGAACGCUGGCGGCGUGCUUAACACAUGCAAGUCGAACGGAAAGGCCCUGCUUUUGUGGGGUGCUCGGGUGGCGAACGGGUGAGUAACACGUGAGUAACCUGCCCUUGACUUUGGGAUAACUUCAGGAAACUGGGGCUAAUACCGGAUAGGAGCUCCUGCUGCAUGGUGGGGGUUGGAAAGUUUCGGCGGUUGGGGAUGGACUCGCGGCUUAUCAGCUUGUUGGUGGGGUAGUGGCUUACCAAGGCUUUGACGGGUAGCCGGCCUGAGAGGGUGACCGGCCACCUUGGGACUGGGAUACGGCCCCGACUCCUACCGGAGGCAGGAGUGGGGAAUAUUGCACAAUGGGCGGAAGCCUGAUGCAGCAACGCCGCGUGCGGGAUGACGGCCUUCGGGUUGUAAACCGCUUUCGCCUGUGACGAAGCGUGAGUGACGGUAAUGGGUAAAGAAGCACCGGCUAACUACGUG